rnacentral:rRNA from 1 species
AUUGAACGCUGGCGGAAUGCUUUACACAUGCAAGUCGAACGGCAGCACGGACUUCGGUCUGGUGGCGAGUGGCGAACGGGUGAGUAAUAUAUCGGAACGUGCCCAGUCGUGGGGGAUAACGUAGCGAAAGCUACGCUAAUACCGCAUACGAUCUACGGAUGAAAGCGGGGGAUCGCAAGACCUCGCGCGAUUGGAGCGGCCGAUAUCAGAUUAGGUAGUUGGUGAGGUAAAGGCUCACCAAGCCGACGAUCUGUAGCUGGUCUGAGAGGACGACCAGCCACACUGGGACUGAGACACGGCCCAGACUCCUACGGGAGGCAGCAGUGGGGAAUUUUGGACAAUGGACGCAAGUCUGAUCCAGCCAUUCCGCGUGCAGGACGAAGGCCUUCGGGUUGUAAACUGCUUUUGUACAGAACGAAAAGCUCUGAGUUAAUACCUCGGGGUCAUGACGGUACCUGCAGAAAAAGCACCGGCUAACUACGUGCCAGCAGCCGCCGUAA